UACGGGGGGGGCAAGCGUUGUUCGGAAUUACUGGGCGUAAAGGGCGCGUAGGCGGCCCACUAAGUCAGAGGUGAAAUCCCUCGGCUUAACCGGGGAACUGCAUCUGAUACUGGAUGGCUUGAGUUCGGGAGAGGGAUGCGGAAUUCCAGGUGUAGCGGUGAAAUGCGUAGAUAUCUGGAGGAACACCGGUGGCGAAGGCGGCAUCCUGGACCGACACUGACGCUGAGGAGCGAAAGCCAGGGGAGCAAACGGG
rnacentral:rRNA from 1 species